ACUGACAAGCGACGACGGAUCAGGAAAUGGCCAGAAGAGGUCGGCGGCAAGGGUCAUGGGCUGUGGGGAUGUGGGAAAAAGCCGGGGCCAGCCAACCAAAAAACAAGCUUGGGGAAGCACCAAAAUAACACCAAGGGACCCCAUGUGUAUAUCCCUCUGUCCGGAUUGAGAGCAUACAACGCUUCGUUCUCCCGAGAAAAGCAUCCACUGAAUCCGUUUUUUUGUGGUUCUCCCUAUCCUUUACCCACUGGUCCACAGUGCCACUCCUCUCUCGACGACCCACUCUCGAAAUAUUCUGUGGAAAAACGUACGGCAAACUAAAAACUGAAAUCCAGAAAUAAAUAAAUUGACGUGGCUAUGACGCUUACACGGUUGAGAUGGGUAGUGGCCCAAAAGGGCGGGGGUUACAGUAAGAGGAUGAGGAGGUUCAGUUUCUGGGAUUGCAGGAUGUGCAAGGACACAAUCAUCCGCGGCAAACCAAGCGGCCUGCACGGCUCCGGCUCCGGCUCUGAGCUGGAAUCCGCUACUGCUACUAAAGCUUCUACUGCUCCUGCUCCUGCUCCAGUUGCUCGUAAAUUCGGCAUGAAAAAGUUGCACGAAUAAAUUAAAUUUGUUUGCAGAGGAAAAAAUACCCAAAAAAAAAAGAAAAAAAUUAAAAGAGAGGAGAAAUCUCCGUUCGUCUCCUCUCUGGCCACAGCAAAUUGCCUGGCAAGCAUCACGAACGAGGCACCCGGCGACUACGACCUCAGAGGUGGCGACGAUGAGGAUGUGAAUGUGAAUGACGAGAGGCGAAAGCGUCUGAGUAAUUCAUUAGGAAUUUCACUAAGAUGGUAAUGAAAGCUCAACUAAAGAUGGAUUUAGAUACAGGCAGAGAAGAACCAAAAAAGUGCA